rnacentral:lncRNA from 1 species
GUUUAAAUCGCAAACAUUUAUUUCUCACAGUUCUGGAGGCUGGAACUCCACGACCAAGUCACUGGCAGAUUCAAUGGCUGUUUGCAGGUGGCCGUCUUCUUGUGGGGUCCUCGUGCGACAGAGAGCAGAGACAGAGCCGGUUCUCUGGGCCUCUUCUUAUCAGGCCACUAAUUUCAUCACGGGGCCGCACCCUCAGGACUCAACUACAUUCCACAGGUCCCCUCUCCUAAUGCCAUCACAUUGGGAGUUAAGGCUUCAACAUAUGUAUUUAGGGAGGACGCACACAUUUGGUCCGUAGCGAGAAUUCAGACUCAAGCCCUUGCCUCAGGCUCUAAUGCACCCAAACCCAGCAGCCACGCACCGCACACCCUGGAGAGCGUGCAGGGGACCCCUGGGUGGGUGAGGACAGGUUUUGGGACUCAGGAGCUAGUCCCUGGGUUUGUCUCGUCAGCCUUCGCCCACCCCUUGACCUCGAAUGGGCCUCCUGACCCAGAACAUGGGGAUCGGGGCCUGGGAAGGUUGAGGGAAGCAUUAAAUGAGGUGGCCCUUUGUCAUGUAUCUGGCACCCCAUAGGCGCUCAAAUGGUGCAACGAGGAUGCCACGGCCCUAACCUGCAAACACGUUUCCACGACUUCACGCCGGAGGCAGCCAAAACGCUUCCCGGCUCCCCUUCCCUGGGGCCCUCCUGGCAGUCCCUGGAGCCAGCCCCUUGGCUCCUGCCUGGCCCCUCCUAGGCAGCCGGCCUGUCCCAGAGUCCCCACCCAGCCCUGGCACCGGCAGGCAACAGACGCUUGCUGGUGGGUGGUCGGGAGCACGUGCCUGGGGAGAGCUGCCUCCACACCAUUCACUGAUCUAAUCAAUAUCCUGCUCCUCCCGAGAACCCGAUCACAGGCCCAUCCAAGUGGGGGUCUGGCUGUGACCCCUUCUUCACCCCGAACUUCCCCCAUGGCCACCACCUCCCCCUUCCCUCUCCCCAGCCCGCUGGGGUGGGCCGCUGGGAGGAAGCCCAUCUCUGACGUGGACCCCGCAUACAGGGGGUCGUGGGCCUGUCAGAUUGGGUCACCCGAAUCAAGGGUGAUGAUAAAACCUGUCCCUCCAAAUUAGGCCAGAGCCCCCGGAGCCCCGCUGAUUACAGCCUGUGCACCGAGGACAAAGGGUCCCUCUAGGGUCAUUAAUAUGGAUUGAGGCCCAUUGUUUUCUCAAAUUAGGCCACAGGGAGCGCUUCUUGGGGAAGCACAUAGCGGGUGAGGGUUCCUGGGGUCCCGCCCAGGGUCCUGCGAGGCCAGGCUGGAGAGCCAGCAAGGAAGAGGCCAGACCAUUCCCAGGCUGAAGGCUCGGGCUCGGGGGUGAGGCCAGGGCCAGUGGGCUUCCCCAGCUCACCUGCAGAAUGUUCUGGAGAAAUAAAAGGAUCCCUCUGAGUACCUGCUGGGACUGAGUGAGCAUUCUUAACUUACACAGAGGGUCUUGCUGUCUGCAAAGCGUUUUAGAUUCUCAAUGCCUUUCAACCUCCAGCACCUUGGGAAUUCCACUCCAAUUCUUAGUGUGGGAAAGUGAGGCUCCGAAAGGUCCAAAGGCUGUCUCGCUGGUUCGCAAGCCUGAAUGCAGGUGCCCCUCCUUCAGCUCGUGACAUGCCACGUCACCGUGACGACAGCCAUGGGCUGAG